rnacentral:rRNA from 1 species
UACGUAGGUCCCGAGCGUUAUCCGGAUUUAUUGGGUGUAAAGCGAGCGCAGGCGGUUAGAUAAGUCUGAAGUGAAAGGCUGUGGCUUAAACAUAGUAUGCUUUGGAAACUGUUUAACUUGAGUGCAGAAGGGGAGAGUGGAAUUCCAUGUGUAGCGGUGAAAUGCGUAGAUAUAUGGAGGAACACCGGUGGCGAAAGCGGCUCUCUGGUCUGUAACUGACGCUGAGGCUCGGAAGCGCGGGGAGCAAACAGG